rnacentral:rRNA from 1 species
GAUGAACGCUAGCUACAGGCUUAACACAUGCAAGUCGCAGGACUGGCGAACGGGUGAGUAACGCGUAUCCAACCUUCCCAUGACCACGGGAUAACCCGUUGGUAGAAGGACUAAUACCGCAUGGUGAUGGAUGGUGAUGCUUCUGAUUAGCUUGUUGGCGUGGUAACGGCACGCAAAGGCGACGAGACGUAGGGGUUCUGAGAGGAAGGUCCCCCGCAAUGGAACUGAGACAAGGUCCAAACUCCUACGAGAGGCAGCAGUUAGGAAUAUUGGGGAUGGGGCGAGAGCCAGAACCAGCGAAGUAGCGUUCAGGAUUACGGCCUAUGGGUUGUAAUCUGCUUUUAUGCGGGGAUAGUUACCGAAUGAAUAAGGACCGGCUAAUUCCGUGCCAGCAGCCGCGGUAAUUC